AUAAAAUUUAUUAGAACUAUAAAUCAUUUUAAAUCGACUAUCUAAUUUUUCAAAAUUUUAAUUUUACUAAUCAACUUUUUAAUUUAUUUGAUUUGAGUUAGUUCAGCAAUAAUUUUACUUCAAAAUUUAAGCUAAGUACUUAUUUUAAUAAAUUUAUAAUUACAACAAUUAUAUGAAAUAUACUAAUUAAAUUUGUAAAAAUAAACGACACCAUCAAAUUUUAAAGUCAAAAUAUCGUUGACCGAUUCAAAUUAAAUAAAGUGAUAGGUUAGAUAGUGAAGUUAAGGCUAAAAUAUAUAAAAUUAUCAUGUAAAUAUUUGCUUUUUUGCUUUUCCCUCUUGACUUUGGAAAAAAUUAUAUUUUGUCCUUUUAGAAUUUUAGUAAUGUUAUUUCAUGUCACAAAA
rnacentral:lncRNA from 1 species